rnacentral:rRNA from 1 species
UGGGGAAUAUUGGGCAAUGGGCGAAAGCCUGACCCAGCCACGCCGCGUGAGUGAUGAAGGCCUUCGGGUCGUAAAGCUCUGUGGGGAGGGACGAACAAAUCUGGGGCUAAUCACCCGGGUCCUGACGGUACCUCCUUAGCAAGCACCGGCUAACCCUGUGCCAGCAGCCGCGGUAAUACAGGGGGUGCAAACGUUGCUCGGAAUCAUUGGGCGUAAAGCGCACGUAGGCGGUUCGUUAUGUCGGAUGUGAAAGCCCUUGGCUUAACCGAGGAAGUGCAUCCGAAACUGGCGAGCUAGAGUACGAAAGAGGAUCGCGGAAUUCCCGGUGUAGAGGUGAAAUUCGUAGAUAUCGGGAGGAACACCGGUGGCGAAGGCGGCGAUCUGGGUCGAUACUGACGCUGAGGUGCGAAAGCGUGGGGAGCAAACA